UACGGAGGGGGCUAGCGUUGUUCGGAAUUACUGGGCGUAAAGCGCACGUAGGCGGCUUUGUAAGUUAGAGGUGAAAGCCCGGGGCUCAACUCCGGAAUUGCCUUUAAGACUGCAUCGCUAGAAUUGUGGAGAGGUACGUGGAAUUCCGAGUGUAGAGGUGAAAUUCGUAGAUAUUCGGAAGAACACCAGUGGCGAAGGCGGCUCACUGGCCCGGUACUGACGCUGAGGUGCGAAAGCGUGGGGAGCAAACAGG
rnacentral:rRNA from 1 species